rnacentral:rRNA from 1 species
AUUGAACGCUGGCGGCAUGCCUUACACAUGCAAGUCGAACGUGAAAGCGGGGCAACCCGCAAGUAGAGUGGCGGACGGGUGAGUAAUACAUCGGAACGUGUCCAGUAAUGGGGGAUAACCUAGCGAAAGUUAGGCUAAUACCGCAUACGAUCUGCGGAUGAAAGCGGGGGAUGCGGCACUAAAGGCUUUUGGCGAAGGUGGCCAAAGGUGAGUCAAGAGCUUUUAGUGCNGCACCUCGCGUUAUUGGAGCGGCUGAUGUCUGAUUAGCUAGUUGGUGAGGUAAAGGCUUACCAAGGCGACGAUCAGUAGCUGGUCUGAGAGGACGGCCAGCCACACUGGGACUGAGACACGGCCCAGACUCCUACGGGAGGCAGCAGU